rnacentral:rRNA from 1 species
UACGGAGGGUGCAAGCGUUAUCCGGAUUCACUGGGUUUAAAGGGUGCGUAGGAGGGCAGGGAAGUCCGUGGUGAAAUCUCCGAGCUUAACUCGGAAACUGCCGUGGAUACUCUCUGUCUUGAAUCCCGUGGAGAUGAGCGGAAUAUGUCAUGUAACGGUGAAAUGCUUAGAUAUGACAUAGAACACCAAUUGCGAAGGCAGCUCGUUACACGAAGAUUGACUCUGAGGCACGAAAGCGUGGGGAUCAAACAGG